rnacentral:tRNA from 1 species
GACCGCAUGGCCUAAUGGAUAUGGCGUAUGACUUCGAAUCAGAAGAUUGAGGGUUCGAGUCCCUCUGUGGUCU